rnacentral:rRNA from 1 species
UAAUACGGAGGGUGCAAGCGUUAUCCGGAUUCACUGGGUUUAAAGGGAGCGUAGGCGGAUUGAUAAGUCAGUGGUGAAAGCCCCAAGCUCAACUUGGGAAUUGCCAUUGAUACUGUUAAUCUUGAGUGCGGUUGAAGUGGGCGGAAUAUGACAUGUAGCGGUGAAAUGCUUAGAUAUGUCAUAGAACACCGAUUGCGAAGGCAGCUCACUAAGCCGCAACUGACGCUGAGGCUCGAAAGCGUGGGGAGCAAACAGGAUUAGAUACCCUGGUAGUCCACGCCCUAAACAAUGAUCACUCGACAUUAGCGAUAAACUGUUAGUGUCUAAGCAAAAGCGUUAAGUGAUCCACCUGGGGAGUACGCUCGCAAGAGUG